rnacentral:lncRNA from 1 species
ACAAUGCAAGUUAAAACUACAAGAAUUGGAAUGAAACUAUAUCAUUUAUAUAAUGAAACUACAAGAUUCAAUAACUAAAUUGGAAUGAAACUAUAUCAUUUAUAUAAUGAAACAAUGCACGUUAAAACUACAAGAAUUGGAAUGAAACUAUAUCAUUUAUAUAAUGAAACUACAAUAUUCAAUAACUAAAUUGGAAUGAAACUAUAUCAUUUAUAUAAUGAAACAAUGCACGUUAAAACUACAAGAAUUGGAAUGAAACUACAAGAGUAUGUUAAGAUUGGCAGAGACAAGAAACAGAUUCAAUUUGAGUUAGAUGACAAGAUUCUAGCAGCACUCAAAGUACCUGUGACAGUAUGAUAACUGCUUCCCAAGCAACUGGUACUAAUCAGCAUGGCUGUGUAUUUGGGGAAGCAAGAGGCAAUUUUUUGGAACUCUUCCAAAGAAGCAAA